GGUCCCGCCUGCCCUGUGACUAUAUGUUUAACGGCCGCGGUAUUUUGACCGUGCGAAGGUAGCGCAAUCACUUGUCUCUUAAAUGGAGACCUGUAUGAAAGGCAUCACGAGGGCUUAGCUGUCUCCCCUUUAAAGUCAAUGAAAUUGAUCUCCCCGUGCAGAAGCGGGGAUAUGCUCGUAAGACGAGAAGACCCUAUGAAGCUUAAGAUACAAAGCGACCCAUGUCAAACACCCCCUUAAAGGAAAUGAACGAAAUGAACUCCGCUGGAAUAUCUUCGGUUGGGGCGACCGCGGGGAAAGACAAAACCCCCACAUGGACUAGGGCUACUACAGCCCUAAAACCUAGACCCACAGGUCAAAUCAACAGUACUUCUGACCACCAAAGAGCCGGCAAUGCCGAUCGACGGACCGAGUUACUCUAGGGAUAACAGCGCAAUCCCCUCCCAGAGCCCUUAUCGACGAGGGGGUUUACGACCUCGAUGUUGGAUCAGGACAUCCUAAUGGUGCAGCCGCUAUUCAGGGUUCGUUUGUUCAACGAUUAAUAGUCCUACGUGAUCUG
rnacentral:rRNA from 1 species